CAUUGCAUUUGGUUGUCCUUGGCUUGUUACAAAUCACGUAAAGGAAGUUAAAUGCAGUAG
rnacentral:pre_miRNA from 1 species